UACGUAGGUGGCAAGCGUUGUCCGGAUUUACUGGGCGUAAAGGGAGCGUAGGCGGAUAUUUAAGUCAGAUGUGAAAUACCCGAGCUUAACUUGGGUGCUGCAUUUGAAACUGGAUAUCUGGAGUGCAGGAGAGGAAAGUGGAAUUCCUAGGGUAGCGGUGAAAUGCGUAGAGAUUAGGAAGAACACCAGUGGCGAAGGCGACUUUCUGGACUGUAACUGACGCUGAGGCUCGAAAGCGUGGGGAGCAAACAGG
rnacentral:rRNA from 1 species